GACUUUUUAGUAUAUAUUUAGUAUGUUUGUUUUCCAAACAAUUGGUUUAAAAGUUA
rnacentral:tRNA from 1 species